rnacentral:rRNA from 1 species
GUGGGGAAUAUUGGACAAUGGGCGAAAGCCUGAUCCAGCCAUGCCGCGUGUGUGAAGAAGGUCUUCGGAUUGUAAAGCUCUGUUAAUCGGGACGAAAGAGCCUAGUGUGAAUAAUGCUAGGAAGUGACGGUACCGGAAUAGAAAGCCACGGCUAACUACGUGCCAGCAGCCGCGGUAAUACGUAGGUGGCAAGCGUUGUCCGGAAUUAUUGGGCGUAAAGCGCGCGCAGGCGGAUCUGCCAGUCUGUCUUAAAAGUUCGGGGCUUAACCCCGUGAUGGGAUGGAAACUACAGAUCUAGAGUAUCGGAGAGGAAAGUGGAAUUCCUAGUGUAGCGGUGAAAUGCGUAGAUAUUAGGAAGAACACCAGUGGCGAAGGCGACUUUCUGGACGAAAACUGACGCUGAGGCGCGAAAGCCAGGGGAGCGAACGGGAUUAGAAACCCGAGUAGUCC